GGGAGACCUAAUUCAGGUAAAAGACGAAAAAAAAGUAGUCGCUACCAAGAAUCAAUCCCAAAAGGUCGGAGCGAGGCGAAAUUGGCUUUCAAACUAGGUUCUGGGUUCAAACAAGACCUGAAUCGGGAACAAGGGCUAUUAGCUCAGGUGGUUAGAGCGCACCCCUGAUAAGGGUGAGGUCCCUGGUUCGAGUCCAGGAUGGCCCACCUGCACAGGUGGCAAAAACAAGAGAAGCGAGGAAUCAGCACCUUAUCUUACUUAUAUAGUAAGAGAGAAUGCUGGCUCUGAGUAAAGAGUCCAGAGGAACCUUGAAAACUGCAUAGAGCUAGGUGAAAAAGCCAAAAAAGAAGACCGCAAGGUCAAGCUAAUAAGGGCUAACGGUG
rnacentral:tRNA from 1 species